rnacentral:rRNA from 1 species
AUGGCGGCGCUGGAGGAAGGGGUCGAGGGAAAGAGAGGUGGGUCGAUCGGCCUAGGGUUAAGGGCACCGACUGGGCCUUGGCCAAAUUGGUCUGGUCGUGACUGUUGGGCCUCCUUCCUUCUCUUCUUUUGUUCCCCAAAACAGAAAAUAUCAAAGAAGAAAAGGAGAAGAAAGGAAGUGUUAGGGGUAGUGUUUGGGUACGGGGUUAAUUUUCCCGGACUCAUAAAAAUGAGCUGGACCCAAGAAAGAAUAGAAGUGAGCAUGACUGAAAGGUUGCAUUCAAACUCAAUUGACUUAAAUUCAAAUGGUUUGAGUAGGAAGUGGUUGUUUGGAAAGGUCCAAAAAUGUUGA